UACGUAGGGGGCAAGCGUUGUCCGGAAUUAUUGGGCGUAAAGAGCGUGUAGGCGGUCCGGUAAGUCAGCUGUGAAAGUCAAGGGCUCAACCCUUGAAUGCCGGUUGAUACUGUCGGGCUAGAGUCCGGAAGAGGCGAGUGGAAUUCCCGGUGUAGCGGUGAAAUGCGCAGAUAUCGGGAGGAACACCAAUGGCGAAGGCGGCUCACUGGCCCGGUACUGACGCUGAGGCGCGAAAGCGUGGGGAGCAAACAGG
rnacentral:rRNA from 1 species